GACGAACGCUGGCGGCGUGCUUAACACAUGCAAGUCGAGCGGUAAGGCCCUUUCGGGGGUACACGAGCGGCGAACGGGUGAGUAACACGUGGGUGACCUGCCCUCAGCUCUGGGGAUAAGCCUGGGAAACCGGGGUCUAAUACUGGAUAUGACUCCAUGACGCAUGUUGUGGGGUGGAAAGCCUUGUGCGGCUGAGGAUGGGCCCGCGGCCUAUCAGCUUGUUGGUGGGGGUGA
rnacentral:rRNA from 1 species